GCUUUCACAUUCCCCAGCUGUUUAAUAUCUUUUCGUUGGUAAACUACACUUAUCAAUAUUCUGUCGCCAGCUGUCUCCUUAACCCCCACUAUAAAUUCACAAUUCUUCACUUCAAUUCCCCACACACAUCUGAACCUUAAUUUUCUUCAUUUCUAUACACUCAUUUGCCGAUCAAUCUCCGGUCACUUUUUUUCUGCUAAAUUUGUGCAUCAAAUGGCUCGAUCUAGCAUUCUCAACACAUUCUUCAUUGUAUUCAUCGUUGUUUUUUUCUAUGCUGUGACUGAAACGUCGGCUCAGGAGUUGGGAUUAGCUCCGGCGCCGGCACCUGACGCAGGUGCGGCUUUCGCUUUGCCGUCUUCCGGUGUUUUAGUUGGAACUUCUCUCCUUCUAUGUGUUGCUGCUAUCUUCAGGAACUAGAAUUUUGAUUUAAUGGUGAUUGUAUGUGUUUUCAGUUCUGAAUGAUGGAUUUAGGAGCUUUCAGUAUGUAUUGAGAUUUAUCUUUUGGCAGUAUAUAUUUCUGAUUAUAAAAUUUUAUUGACUACAAAAAGUUGCAUUUUUUUAUACCCAAUUUUUAUUUUAUUCUCUAUUGUCUGCUCCAGAAGUGAUAAUUCUCCUAACUUGAAGGUGAUUAUACCUGAAAAUUCAUUUAUAAUCUGGAAAUUAACAACCUGAUAGGCGAAAACUAAAGAAAAACAAGGCUUUGAGCUGAUUUUUUUGGGGUAAUUUGAGUAAAACUCAUUUCCUUUUGAAACAUGAAGGAUUAAAUAAAGAUCAAAUUUCCAUGUAAUUGGUUGCACAUGGAACAGAGGAAAAGAAUGAGAUGAAGUAUGUAAAGAAGGUAUCCAGAUUAGUCGAGCUCGCUCCAAAGUGGGUACUAAACGCCAAGUGGGAAACCCAAAGGAAGUUCUUAUUCAUAGAUUCAUCAUAUGUAAGAUUGUCAUUGGAGUCCUGUAACUAGAACCUAUAAUUUAUCUUGCAGUUUAAAGGAAAUAGCAACUUCUGUUCUUGAGGAGUAAGAAGAUUAGAAACUUUAAAACUGUGUAUAUAAUAUAACAUUAGAGACAAGUUCACAGUGGAAAUAGGACAAAAGAACACAACUAUGUAAGUUGCAUUUCUUUGUUCAUGUCCCUUUUUGAUGCACAAAGCAAUGCCUAUAGAGAAAAUGACUUACAAAGCAUUGAGAACUCAGCCUUCUAUCCCCUAUUUGUUGUCAUAUUCCCUGAGAGGGGCUCAGACGGACUGCAAUUCGUAUGAGCUUAAUCUUCUCAAACUAUCUGCCCCUGCACGAAUACACAAACAUGUGUACAAAAUCUACCAAAUGGAAGCCUUUAUUGUUUCCAUGGCUGGCGUAUGGUCACAUCUCUCCAUUUCUCGAGCUAGCCAAAAAGCUUGCGGAUAGAGGUUUCUUGGUUUGAAUGUUCUUCACCUAUUAACCUAAGUUUCAUCAGAACAAGAAUCCCAGAAAGCUAUUGUUCCUCAAUUCAUCUUGUGGAACUCCAAUUACCAUACUUGCAAGAGCUUCCUCCUCACCAUCAUACAACCAAUGGCCUCCCACUCCAUCUCCAUUCCACCCUUCAAAAAGCCCUCAAAAUGGCUAAACCAAAUAUGCUCAACAUCUUAAGAACUCGAAAACCCGACUUGUUAAUACAUGAUGUUUAGCAAUAAUGGGGGGCUGCUGAGGUAGCUUCUUCCCUUGACAUCCCGGCUGUUAGAUUCUUCACUUCUUGUGCAGCCAUGUGUUCCUAUUUCAGCCACUUGUUUGUGAAACCAAAUGUUGAAUUCCCCUUUCAAGCUCUUCGAUUACGCCCUUAUGAGCUAACAAGGGCUCAUAACUUAGUUAAAGAACAUCGUGAAGACGAUGAUCCUGAAGUGAGAGCUCCUGAAGAAUUUACAGACGUGAUGCUAAUAGGCACGUCGAGAGAGAUGGAGGGAAAAUACAUCGAUUAUAUGUCCAAAAUAAUCAAAUUCAAGGUCUUGCCAAUUGGUACACUAGUUCAAGAUCCUAUAGCUAGUGUAGAUGGAAACAUGGAGAUCAUGGAAUGGUUAGGGAAAAAAGAUAAGUUCUCAACUAUAUUAGUCUCUUUUGGGAGUGGCUAUUUCUUGACAAAACAAGAAUUGGAAGAAGUGCCAUUUGGUUUAGAGCUUAGCCUUGUGAAUUUCAUAUGGGUAGUUAGGUUUCCCAAAGGGAAAAUCUAAGUCUUGAAGAGGCAUUACCACAAGGAUUUUUUGAGAGAGUUGGUGAUAGAGGGAUGGUUAUGGGAGGAUGGGCUCCACAAGCAAAAAUUCCAACUCAUUCGAGUAUCGGUGGAUUCGUGAGUCAUUGUUAGAAAGUAUAGACUACGGAAUUCCAGUUAUUGCUAUGCCUGUGGAUCUUGAUCAACCUAUGAAUGCUAAAUUGCUAGUGGAAAUUGGAGUAGCUUUGGAGGUUUGCGCGAUGAAAAUGGAGCACUUCAUAGAGAAGACAUAGCAAGAGUUAUCAAAGAUGUAAUAUGUACAAAAUCAGGGGAGAAUUUGAGAUUUAAUGUGAGAAAUUUGGGUGAGAAGUUCAGAUUUAAAAAUGUGGAAGAUAUAGAUGCAGUGUUAUGGAGCUAAAACAACUUUGUCAUGAGAAGAAUCAUAGAUUUUGGAUUUGAGCCAUGUAUGUAGUCGUCCUUGAUAGGGAGCGCUUUACCCCAAAAUUCACUACAUAGGUGGUCAAUCCAGAUUAAUUAGGCUCUAAAAUGGGUACGGAAUACCGAGUGGGAAAAAAAAGCAUUGUAACUUUCUAAGCUAGUUCAUUCAACUAAUGCAAGAAGCAUAAGAAAAAGGAAAAAUUUCUAUCAUAAUGUGCAUUAUUUUAUUAC